GGGCAAUUUUUAUCAACUCUCACGCGUGGUCGUCACGCGCCUCUGGGUGCCCGGCGGAAUUUUCGCCGGGUUGAGGCGCGGGGCCCGCGGCGGAAAAAC
rnacentral:sRNA from 1 species